rfam:Felis catus isolate Cinnamon breed Abyssinian chromosome A1, whole genome shotgun sequence.
ACCUGGGUGGCUCAGUCAGUUGAGCACCUGACUUUGGCUCAGGUCACGAUCACACAGUUCGUGGGCUCGAGCCCCGCGUCGGGCU